UACGUAGGGCGCAAGCGUUGUCCGGAGUUAUUGGGCGUAAAGCGCGCGCAGGCGGUCUCUUAAGUUUUGAGUGACAGGUGGUGGCUCAACUGCCGCAGGCCUCAGAAGACUGGGAGACUUGAGGACGAGAGAGGGAUGCGGAAUUCCAGGUGGAGCGGUGAAAUGUGUAGAGAUCGGGAGGAACACCGGUGGCGAAGGCGGGUCUCUGGGCAUUUCCUGACGCUGAGGCGCGAAAGCGUGGGGAGCAAACGGG
rnacentral:rRNA from 1 species